rnacentral:rRNA from 1 species
UAAUACGUAGGGGGCAAGCGUUGUCCGGAUUUAUUGGGCGUAAAGCGCUCGCAGGUGGUUCGUUGCGUCGUGCGUGAAAGACCCUGGCUCAACUGGGGAGUGUCGUGCGAUACGGGCGGACUAGAGGCCAGUAGGGGGAUGCGGAAUUCCGGGUGUAGUGGUGGAAUGCGUAGAGAUCCGGAGGAACACCAGCGGCGAAGGCGGCAUCCUGGACUGGUCCUGACACUCAGGAGCGAAAGCGUGGGGAGCGAUCCGG